rnacentral:rRNA from 1 species
UACAGAGACUGCGAGCGUUAUUCGGAUUCACUGGGCGUAAAGGGCGCGUAGGCGGCCUGGCAAGUGGAAGGUGAAAUCCCUCGGCUUAACCGAGGAACUGCCCUCCAAACUGCUUGGCUUGAGUCCGGGAGAGGUGAGUGGAAUUCCCAGUGUAGCGGUGAAAUGCGUAGAUAUUGGGAGGAACACCAGUGGCGAAGGCGGCUCACUGGACCGGAACUGACGCUGAGGCGCGAAAGCGUGGGGAGCAAACGGG